AGAGUUUGAUCCUGGCUCAGAACGAACGCUGGCGGCGUGCCUAACACAUGCAAGUCGAGCGCGAAAGUCCCUUCGGGGGCGAGUAGAGCGGCGGACGGGUGAGUAGCACGCGGAUAAUCUGCCUUCGGGUUUGGGAUAACCCCGCGAAAGUGGGGCUAAUACCGGAUAAGACCACGUAACCCAGGUUACGGGGUAAAAGAUGGCUUGUACUCGUACACGCUAUCACCUGAAGAUGAGUCCACGGCCUAUCAGCUUGUUGGUGGGGUAACGGCCUACCAAGGCUAUGACGGGUAGCUGGUCUGAGAGGACGACCAGCCACACUGGGACUGAGACACGGCCCAGACUCCUACGGGAGGCAGCAGUGGGGAAUAUUGGGCAAUGGGCGCAAGCCUGACCCAGCGACGCCGCGUGGGUGAUGAAGGCCUUCGGGUUGUAAAGCCCUUUCGUGCGGAAAGAACAGUCUCGCGGCUAAUACCCGCGGGAUUUGACGGUACCGCAGGAAGAAGCACCGGCUAACUCCGUGCCAGCAGCCGCGGUAAUACGGAGGGUGCAAGCGUUGUUCGGAAUUACUGGGCGUAAAGGGCGCGUAGGCGGUAAUGUAAGUCAGAUGUGAAAUCCUUCGGCUCAACUGAAGAACUGCAUCUGAAACUGCAUAACUAGAGUACAGAAGAGGGAAACGGAAUUCCCGGUGUAGAGGUGAAAUUCGUAGAUAUCGGGAGGAACACCAGUGGCGAAGGCGGUUUCCUGGUCUGAUACUGACGCUGAGGCGCGAAAGCGUGGGGAGCAAACAGGAUUAGAUA
rnacentral:rRNA from 1 species